UACGAAGGGGGCUAGCGUUGUUCGGAAUCACUGGGCGUAAAGCGCACGUAGGCGGAUUUUUAAGUCAGGGGUGAAAUCCGGGGGCUCAACCUCGGAACUGCCUUUGAUACUGGAGAUCUUGAGUUCGGGAGAGGUGAGUGGAACUGCGAGUGUAGAGGUGAAAUUCGUAGAUAUUCGCAAGAACACCAGUGGCGAAGGCGGCUCACUGGCCCGAUACUGACGCUGAGGCACGAAAGCGUGGGGAGCAAACAGG
rnacentral:rRNA from 1 species